rnacentral:rRNA from 1 species
AAUGAACGUUGGCGGCGUGGAUUAGGCAUGCAAGUCGAGCGAGAACCCCGCAAGGGGGGACAGCGGCGAAAGGGACAGUAAUGUGUAGAUUAUCUGCCCUCAGGUCCGGGAUAGCUGCGGGAAACUGCAGGUAAUACCGGAUAACAUCUCCGGAUCAAAGGUGUGAUUCCGCCUGAGGAUGAGUCUGCAUCCUAUUAGCUAGUUGGUGGGGUAAUGGCCUACCAAGGCAUUGAUGGGUAGCAGGUGUGAGAGCACGACCUGCGUCAUUGGGACUGAGACACUGCCCAGACACCGACGGGUGGCUGCAGUCGAGAAUCGUCGGCAAUGGGCGCAAGCCUGACCGAGCGACGCCGCGGGUGGGAUGAAGGCCUUCGGGUUGUAAACCACUGUCAGAGGGGAUGAAAUGCAGGUGGGUGCUCCCAUCUGUUUGACAUAGCCUCAGAGGAAGGACGGGCUAAGUUCGUG